GACGAACGCUGGCGGCGUGCUUAACACAUGCAAGUCGAACGGAAAGGCCCUGCUUUUGUGGGGUGCUCGAGUGGCGAACGGGUGAGUAACACGUGAGUAACCUGCCCUUGACUUUGGGAUAACUUCAGGAAACUGGGGCUAAUACCGGAUAGGAGCUCCUGCUGCAUGGUGGGGGUUGGAAAGUUUCGGCGGUUGGGGAUGGACUCGCGGCUUAUCAGCUUGUUGGUGGGGUAGUGGCUUACCAAGGCUUUGACGGGUAGCCGGCCUGAGAGGGUGACCGGCCACAUUGGGACUGAGAUAUGGCCCAGACUCCUACGGGAGGCGGCAGUGGGGAAUAUUGCACAAUGGGCGGAAGCCUGAUGCAGCAACGCCGCGUGCGGGAUGACGGCCUUCGGGUUGUAAACCGCUUUCGCCUGUGACGAAGCGUGAGUGACGGUAAUGGGUAAAGAAGCACCGGCUAACUACGUG
rnacentral:rRNA from 1 species